GAUCAUGGCUCAGGAUGAACGCUGGCGGCGUGCUUAACACAUGCAAGUCGAACGAAGAUGCCGGAGUGCUUGCACUUUGGCAGACUGAGUGGCGGACGGGUGAGUAACGCGUGGGUAACCUGCCUUAUACAGGGGGAUAACAGUUGGAAACGACUGCUAAUACCGCAUAAGCGCACGGUAUCGCAUGAUACAGUGUGAAAAACUCCGGUGGUAUAAGAUGGACCCGCGUCUGAUUAGCUUGUUGGUGAGGUAACGGCCCACCAAGGCGACGAUCAGUAGCCGGCCUGAGAGGGUGAACGGCCACAUUGGGACUGAGACACGGCCCAAACUCCUACGGGAGGCAGCAGUGGGGAAUAUUGCACAAUGGGGAAACCCUGAUGCAGCGACGUCGCGUGAGUGAUGAAGUAUUUCGGUAUGUAAAACUCUAUCAGCAGGGAAGAUAAUGACGGUACCUGACUAAGAAGCACCGGCUAAAUACGUG
rnacentral:rRNA from 1 species